rnacentral:lncRNA from 1 species
GUACCAUCUCUUUGUUAUAGGCCCCAUAAAACUGGCUACUAAAAGCAGCAAAUGUAUUUUGAACAUUUAUUAUACACGCCCCAUGUUGCAGACAGUGUGAUUCCAAAUCAUAGUGAUUCCACAUAAAAUAAUAAGGAUAAUUUUCUGCUUCUUCCUCUUUCCUCCUUCUGGGUAAAAGAUCACCAGGGGAAGUAAACCUUGGCUCUGAUUUGUUUAUUGAGAUACAAUCUGUACUCAAGGGAAGACUUUGGAGAUUUAAAACUUGGAGAAGUUGCUUACAUUCCAGGUACCCAUGUUCAUAAAUUACAGGUGAUCAUUUGUACUCUAUGGAGUUACUGAAAAAUAUUUGAGAUAAAUUCUGUCUGGCAUCUUUAAUAGUCCUUAGCAUGCCACAGAGAGGAAGGUGUGAUUUGGGAAGGCCACUCUGAGACCUACUCUCCCUCCAGCCUGCUUGGGCCCAUUCAUAGGGACUGGGUAGCCACACCCUCCCCUGCCUGCUCCACCACCAGCUCCAGCAAGGAAGGUAGCCGCCUGGCCUCCCCUGAAAAACUCCCCCCACACACCCCGACUUCCUGAUUGGGCCAGUCCUUGGACUCGCUCACAGAG